rnacentral:rRNA from 1 species
UGGGGAAUAUUGCACAAUGGGCGAAAGCCUGAUGCAGCGACGCCGCGUGCGGGAUGAAGGCCUUCGGGUUGUAAACCGCUUUUAAUUGGGAGCAAGCGAGAGUGAGUGUACCUUUUGAAUAAGCACCGGCUAACUACGUGCCAGCAGCCGCGGUAAUACGUAGGGUGCAAGCGUUAUCCGGAAUUAUUGGGCGUAAAGAGCUCGUAGGCGGUUUGUCACGCCUGGUGUGAAAGUCCAUCGCUUAACGGUGGAUCUGCGCCGGGUACGGGCAGGCUAGAGUGCAGUAGGGGAGAUUGGAAUUCCCG